UGGCUCAGAUUGAACGCUGGCGGCAUGCUUUACACAUGCAAGUCGAACGGUAACAGGCCGCAAGGUGCUGACGAGUGGCGAACGGGUGAGUAAUGCAUCGGAACGUGCCCAGUCGUGGGGGAUAACGCAGCGAAAGCUGUGCUAAUACCGCAUACGAUCUAUGGAUGAAAGCGGGGGACCGUAAGGCCUCGCGCGAUUGGAGCGGCCGAUGUCAGAUUAGGUAGUUGGUGGGGUAAAGGCCCACCAAGCCAACGAUCUGUAGCUGGUCUGAGAGGACGGACGACCAGCCACACUGGAACUGAGACACGGUCCAGACUCCUACGGGAGGCAGCAGUGGGGAAUUUUGGACAAUGGGCGCAAGCCUGAUCCAGCAAUGCCGCGUGCAGGAAGAAGGCCUUCGGGUUGUAAACUGCUUUUGUACGGAACGAAACGGUCUGGGUUAAUACCCUGGGCUAAUGACGGUACCGUAAGAAUAAGCACCGGCUAACUACGUGCCAGCAGCCGCGGUAAUACGUAGGGUGCAAGCGUUAAUCGGAAUUACUGGGCGUAAAGCGUGCGCAGGCGGUUUUGUAAGACAGUCGUGAAAUCCCCGGGCUCAACCUGGGAAUUGCGAUUGUGACUGCAAAGCUGGAGUGCGGCAGAGGGGGAUGGAAUUCCGCGUGUAGCAGUGAAAUGCGUAGAUAUGCGGAGGAACACCGAUGGCGAAGGCAAUCCCCUGGGCCUGCACUGA
rnacentral:rRNA from 1 species